rnacentral:tRNA from 1 species
UGGCCUAACAGAUGAAGGCGUCGAAUAUCGAAUUCGAACAUUGCAGGUUCAAGUCCUGU